UGGGGAAUAUUGGACAAUGGGCGAAAGCCUGAUCCAGCCAUGCCGCGUGUGUGAAGAAGGCCUUUUGGUUGUAAAGCACUUUAAGCGAGGAGGAGGCUACUUGGAUUAAUACUCUAGGAUAGUGGACGUUACUCGCAGAAUAAGCACCGGCUAACUCUGUGCCAGCAGCCGCGGUAAUACAGAGGGUGCGAGCGUUAAUCGGAUUUACUGGGCGUAAAGCGUGCGUAGGCGGCUUUUUAAGUCGGAUGUGAAAUCCCUGAGCUUAACUUAGGAAUUGCAUUCGAUACUGGGAAGCUAGAGUAUGGGAGAGGAUGGUAGAAUUCCAGGUGUAGCGGUGAAAUGCGUAGAGAUCUGGAGGAAUACCGAUGGCGAAGGCAGCCAUCUGGUCUAAUACUGACGCUGAGGUACGAAAGCAUGGGGAGCAAACAGG
rnacentral:rRNA from 1 species